CCUGGCGCAAAGCGUGACCCGAACUGCAACCUGGAAGGCUGGAAGGAGUCGAGCCAGGCCCAAGCCCGGCGCGCCCCCCGCGCCCCCGCGAGAGCGCGAGCCACCGGCGGAAGUGCUGCGUCGCGCACUUCCGGGUGUUGUCUGGCAGCCGCCGUGAGUCGUCGGUCUCCCCGGCCGCCGCCCCCGCCGCCGCCGCCGCCUCGGGUUGUGGAGCCAAGAGCGACAUCACCACCAUGGCGGGCAUCAAAGGUGAGCCUGGGGCGUGGGACGCUGGAGGUCUGGGUAGCCCCUCGGGAAGAGGAGGUCGAGGGCGCACGCCGCCCGCGCACGACGCCUCUUUCCCGGGCCGGCCGCGCGCGGGGUCCCUCCUGGCUGUGCGACCCCUGACGCACCCUAGCCCUGGCUGUCUCUGAGCCGAAGUGGGCGCGGCCCCCUCCCAGGAAGGACUGCAGAAACCGCGGCUUCUCUCGGCAGCCCCCACCUUCCGCUAAUUUGGGCAGCCUCUUUAAUGCAUCGCCCCCUGACCCCGGACGGAAAGCGAUGUGGUUGUUGGUGUUUUAGGAGCCUGUGGCGACUUGGGUCAUCAGACACGUUUUGCUGGAGUUUGCAUCCGAGAAGGGGGCGGGGGCGGGCCCAGUGUGUUUUUGAGGGGGUUGAGUCCGCUGGGUAGCCAGUUAUGGAAAAAAGAGUGUCAUUUCCCACUUCAAGGCACAAGUGAUACCUUCGGGUGCUUGGCGCUGGCGAAGAGUUUAAGGACGGUUCUUUCCGAAACCUGGCAUCCGAGUUCAAUCUCGACACUCCUAAAUAGAUGCUUUUUGAUCUAUGGUGUUAGUAUGAUACAGUACACCACGUAAGCGACCUCAGAUUGAUGCUGGUUUUCUUCUUGACAGUUGCACCUUGAAGCUUUUUGAGAUCUAAAAGUUUGUUUUUAAAGAUAGUUACAACCUAAUAAAAAAUCACUCCUUUAUUUCUACAAUUUCUUUAGAAGGAAGGGAUGCUGCAAUCGUUCCAGCUGUAGUUUUGUUUUCAGUGUGAUAAGGAGCUACGUUUUCAGUUUCCUUCCUAACGAAUUACAUUGAUUUAUUGAUCUGCCGCUUUGUAGAAGGCGCAGGCAAGCAGGAAAUGAACAACUUGGAUAGCAGUAUUUUUCUGUUUUUCCUUUCUUUCUUUUUUUUUUUUUUUGGUACUGGGGAUUGAACUCAGGGAUACGCGACCACUGAGCCACAUCCCCCAUCCUGUUUUUGUAUUUAUUUAGAGACAAGGUCUCAUUGAGUUACUUAGCGCCUCGCUUUUUGCUGAGGCUGGCUUUGAACCCUCGAUUCUCCUGUCUCAGUCUCUUUGUAUUUUUUUUUUUUAAAGCUUGACUUUAGUGGAGCUUCUUUCCCAGCGUCAUAUAGAGUUUCUUCCUCAUUUUCGGUGUUUUAAAACAUUUGAUUUCUUUGUAAUUUGAGUAACUAGGAUACUUUUUAAUCUUUUGAGCUAUAAUAAAUUGUUUUGAAUUAUAUGAAAAGGAGUUAUGUAAAAUGCUGCAGUGUUUAGGAUAUUGCCUCUUUCCUUAUUGUUUUCCGUUUCUUUAAUGUGACUAAUGAAGGAGUCCCUCAAGAAAAUAACUUUAUAAUUUCCUUCUCCAAAUCUAAAAGUAAAAAUGUCUCAAGUACUUAUAUUUUUGGUUUCAGUAGGAUUUUAUGGUAUGAUUGUUUAUUAGGAUGUUUCUUUAGGUUGGUUUAUCAUCUUGAUUAUGAAGGAAUGUUGCUAUAAUGAGAGACCAUUACUAUUUCUUGAGCUGUUUACCUAUUUAUGAUAUUCUGGACUUUCUGAUGGCCCCUUCUAUUCCAAUUUCUUUGUAAUCACAGAACCAGCCCCUUGUCUCUAGAGAAUUUUGCUACAUAAUUGGGCUGUUUCAUCCCUAGCCUAGAGGCUUUGGGAGUUGAAACCAAAUUCAAGUAAGUCUUGUCUACCAAAUAUUGCAUCACUCAAUUACAGUAUAAAUUUUUACCUUGUUGAUGUGUCAUCUAAAGACAACAGUUUAUACAUAGAAAUUAGCCUAGUUGCAGAUUUCUUAAGGCUGAAGAAACAUUACAAGUUUUGAGAACACUUUUGAGCAGUUGAUUUACCCCCAUUAGCUGUUAUUUCUUAUGACCGGAAGAAGAAAUCCACAUAAAAUUAUUUUUGAGCACUUAAAAAUAUUGAAUAUUGAUUGGAACAUAAGUAUCCAGGUUGUCUUGAGUCUUUAAACUCUUUCUAAGCCCUUUUGUUUUCAUUAUACAAUGGCAUUUGAAAGAAAUUCAAUCCUAAGAUCUAAAUAAAUACAAUACUAAUUUUCUUCCAGUAUUAAUAUUCACAGCAGUUAUAAUAAAGCAAUCCUAAUUUGUCUUUAAAACAUUGUUUUUGAUACCUGAGCCUUAUCUCCUUUUAGUUCCUUGGUUUUUUAAAAGAAAUAAUUUUUCAUUAACUCUUUAAAAAUAUACUUAAAUAAUUUAAACUUUCUUUUUUGAUUAGAACAUAAAUGAUCAGUAUGAGAUGUCUGUUGCCAGGUUUACUGGAAAUAUGUUUUUUGAGAUUUUUCUGCCUGAUUUAAAAGUUUUCUCAAGUCUCCUUUCAGAUGGCAGUUCUUGUCUUUGUGUGGCUUUUUUCUACUCUUCAUUUAUUUCAAAGUGGGAAACAAGAUAAUUAAACUUUAAAAUUUUUAGUUAUUAAUUUUGGAAAGAGAAGUUACCUUUCAUUGAAAUUUGUUCUGUGUACAUGAAUUAUCUAUUGAAAGAAAUAGACAAAGGAACAUAGACAUGUCUUAAAAAUGAAAUUCUAUUUACUCUGUUUGAAUUUACAUCUGACAAUUGUAUUACAAAAAAUGAUUAAUAACUACUGAAUAAGAGUUUAAGGGCCUGCACAGAGAAAGUGAGCAAGUGUAUGGGUUUUGCAGCAUCUCCUUUGUCUCUAUGUAGUAAUGUUUUCUUCCUUAAGCUUCUAAGUUAUGUUCUGAAUAAAUGACUCAUGAAUAAAUAUAAAUAAGGUGUUAGUAUAUGGUAACCUAAUAGUAUUUACAGUAGUAAACUCAGGUGUUUGGCAUCAACAUUUAAAAAAGUGGCGAGGGUCCUGGGAAUGUACCUCAGUGGUAGAGCACUUGCUUACCUAGCAUGCAAGAAGUUCUGGGUUCAAACCCCAACCAAAAAAAAAGACAUAGUUUUUACAUACUUCAGAAUGUAUUAAUAGUAUCUCUAGUGAUAAGAGAAUUAUUUCUUUUAGAUCUAGUUAAACUCUAAUUUUAUAGGAAAAACAACAACAACACUGAGUCAGAUAAAUAUUUAAAUAACUAGUUAGUGGCUAGUAGGAAGUAAGAGCCAGUGCUCAAAACUCUUAGCUCUCUGCUGGUUCCACUCUGCUACAUUCAUUCUACAAAUAACUUGUUAUUGAGUGUUGAGCUGGGACCUGAGCAUCAAUAACAGAAAAUGCUCUUUACUCUCAAAACUGAUAGUUGAGAAGAAAAAAAAUCCAAUCAAUAUGAAGUGCAUCUGUGAUAAACUGAGAAACGAAAAUCAUACAAUGCUAAGAGGGCCUCUGUGAAUGUAUGUCCCUUUACUAGAAUGCUGCCCCAAGUACCACAUGAUUUGCUUCCUCAUUUCAUAUGACACUGUGCUCACAUGUCACCUCAUCAAAGACACCCUUUCAGGCUCCUGUGUCUAGACUUAUACUCUUCCUUUACUUUUUUUAAAAAAAUUAUUCUCCCUAGAAUGUAAGCUGCAUUAGAUCAAGAGAUUUGAUAUAUAUAUAUAUAUAUAUAUAUAUAUAUAAAAUCUCUUUAUCUAAUGCAGCUUACNUCCAACAUCUGUUACAUAUUUGGCUUCAAUAAAUACUUCCUGAGUGAAUGAGGAACUGAGGUAGAGGGGACAUAUGCAGAGGCCAUGUGGUUGAGGAAACCUGCUGAUUUCCAGGAAAGAAAAAAGGCCCAUGAGACUGAAGUAUGGAGAGCAAGGGGUAGUUGCCUGAUGUGACACGCAUCCAGGAGGUAGGCAGGACCAGAUGAUGAGGACCCAUUUUGAACUAGAAAGACAAAUGGUAAACUCAAUAUUUUCUUCACAGUUUAUGUUGCUUUUCCUUGUAAACUUGAAAUGGUUCAUUUACUGUAAAAUAAGCUGAAAAAAAAAAUUUCUGUAGCUGAAAAUAUAAUGGCAUUAAGGACUAAGUAGAUUGUUUAGGGUUGCCAUGACCUACGUCAGUGAAACAACUGAAAACCAAGCUACCAUGUCAAUCGUCCUUGAUUUUUGACCAUUUUAGUUCUGAAAUGUAUAUCAGUAGUAUUUGGCAGCAUUAACCCCCUUAUUGUUAAUUUUGGCUUGUGUAUGUGAGCUUUUGUCUUAGUGGCUUUUAGACAGAAAUUACUUUCUUAACUACUAUGGCUGCAGAAACACAGGUUAUGCAGAACUUGUUUUUUUAAUAUUUAUUUUUUAGUUGUAGUUGGACACAAUACCUUUAUUUUAUUUAUUUAUUAUUACAUGGUGCUGAGGAUCAAACCCAGAGCCUUACACAUGCUAGGUGAGCGCUCUACUUCUGAGCCACAAACCCAGCCCAGGUUAUACAGAACUUAAAAAAAGAUCAUUUAUUUCUUUGGCUAAACCUCGGUCAUUGAUUAUACCUACUCAAGAAAGUUAUUUUUACUUACUGACAUGUAAAGCACUUUAAAAUAUACUGCUUUGUAUAAGUGUGUGUCUUGAGAAAUUAUAUUUCAGGGACUGGCAUGGUUGUAUAUAACUAAUUCCAGAUGCUCUGGAAUCUGAGGCAGGAGGAUCACCAAUUCAAGACUAGCCUCAGCAAUUUAGCCAGAUGGGUUUGUUUGGUUUAGUUUUGAAACAGUCUUCGUGUUGCCCAGGCUAUCCAGGAACUCCUGGGCUCCAGCAAUCCUCCUGACUCAAGACUCCAGAGUAGCUGGGAUUAUAGGUGUGCAUCAUUGCCCCCACCUCCGCAGUUUUAUGUAUGUUAGGGUAUAUGUGUAAGAAAAAGGAACUGAUUCGCAGAGGUUUUCCCAUAAGAUUCCCUGAAUCUUCUAAAAUCCAGUAAAUUUCAGAAUGUAAAGUUUCUCUGUAUAUGGCUUUUCAAAAUUAUAAUGAUUUUUGGAGUAAUGCCUGAAGGGACAUUGAUCUGGUUGACUAUUAUGAUACUCAUUAAGAAAUGGAACCAACUAAUUGGGGGGAUGUGGUCUAGUGUUAGCAAUCGGUCAGAGCUCUGAAAAUCAAUACAAGGUUGAGUGUCCUUUAUUGGAAAUGCUUGGGACCAGAGGAAGUGUUUUGGAUUUUGAAAUAUUUGCAUAUACACAAUGAAGUAUAUCUUGGGGAUAAGAACCAAGCAUAAACCCCAAAUUCAUUUAUGUUUAAUAUAAAUCUACAUGCAUAGCCUGAAGUGUAUAAGACACACACUUAAUCAAACACACACUUAUAAUUUUAAAAAUUAUUUUUAAUUGCAUGAAAUAAAGUUUUAUGGUAUGGCAUCAUGUCAUUGCUCUAAAAGUUACAGAUUUUGGAGCAUUUCAGAUUUUAGUUUUCAAACUAGGAAUGAUGCUCAGUCUUUAUCACUUGAAAAUGCCACAGAAGACUUAUUCUUAGAUUACGUGACUUACACUCCUGGAGACAGUGUACUCUGAGUAUAUUUAGGUUUAUCGGCAAGGUUGUUUUGUUUUAGUUCUGGGAUUACAGGUAAAGUUCAAACUGCUAAUAUUAAUAUUAACAAAAAUAAUAUUUACUGGCUUAAAGAAUUGAUAUAUAUGUUGGACUUUUUAUUUUCUUUAUAGCUUUGAUUAGUUUGUCGUUUGGAGGAGCAAUUGGGCUGAUGUUUUUGAUGCUUGGAUGUGCCCUUCCAAUAUACAAGUAGGUAAAAUUUUUGUCUUUUUAAAAAGUGUGUGUUAAGGUAAAAGUGUGCUUUUAAAGCUUUAAAAAUAUUUUAUUUCUGCUGUAAAAUUAAUGCAGAGAAAUGUUCAUUUACCAAACAAACCUUUUUAAUAAUCAUCACUUUAUUUGUAAAUAUUUUAGGACACCAAGAUGCAAAAGCAUUUUUGGCUAUUAUCUGCUCUCUGACUAUUGUCAAGUCUGUAAUGACAAGAUAGCAACACAUUAGUUCAGACCUACUCUUCGGUUUUAAACACAUCGAUUAUAUUAAAUACAAGAAAAUUAAAAACAUCUGUUUAUAGAAAAUAUCAUAAGCAGAGUCAGAACACAGUUGACUAAAAAAUAUGAUGUUGAUAAUUAUUUUCAUUAAGAUAGAAUGUUUUAAGAGUAAUUUUUAAGAGCUAGGGUUAGAUGUGUUCAUGACAACAUUGUCUAUAAGAACAAAAAGGGAAAACUGAUGAUAUCAUAGAUAUCCUUCAAAAGAAAAAUGGUUUAAGUUAUAGUACAUCCAUUGGUGAAAAUAUGAGGAAGUUUUAGAGAAUGAAGAAUUGUAAGUGCUGUUAUUAAAGAUAUUCAAGAUCUAUCAUUAAAUAAAUAAAAAAUUGCAGUGACCCAGUCACCUUUUUAAAGUUUAUGUGGGAUUUUGGAAGGGUCCACAAAAAGCUCUUAAGGAGAAGGGGGGAAAAAAAACAGGGGAGGAUCAAGAGACAUAUAGUUUAUUUCACCUUGUGUCCUUUAUUAUUGUUUUGAUGUUUUUUUCUUAAGCACAUAUUUUAUUUGCAAUUUUUUACUUAAAUGUGUAGGAAAAGAAACAUUAGAAAAACAUCAGUAGAUCUUUGCUGAGUGUAAUCUUCUAAGUACAUGCAAAUCUCCAUUAUCAUGUGUAGUUUGUAGCAGUUUUAUUUAUUUUUAACUUUUUCUUUUGAAAUAAUUUUGGACUGUUAAGAAAUUGCAAAGACAGUGCAAACAGGUUCCUCUGCUUCCCCCAGUCAUGACAUUUUAUAUAACCACAGCUAUCAAAACCAGGAAAUGAUAUCAGCACAACACCACUAACUAAACAGUAGACUAAAAGCCAUCAGCUUUUAUUAUGAUAUAUUCUGUAUCCUUAUUGAAAGUGUUCAAUAUUACUUUUGAUUAGUUUUCUAUAUUUCAAUUCCAGUAUUUUGGGGGAGUUCCUAGUGACCUAAGGAAAGCUUGGGAAGGGGUGUUUUCACUUCAUAUUAGUGCAGGAUGUCAAAGACAUGAAUUGUGACUUUUAAAAGUUAUUGUGUUGGGGCUGGGGCUGCAGCUCAGUGGCAAAGCGCUUGCCUAGCAUGCAUGAGGCACUGGCUUCAAUUUUCAGCACCAAAUAAAAAUAAACAAAUAAAAUAAAGGCAUUCUGUCCAUCUACAACUAUAAAAUUUUUUUUAAAAGUUAUUGUGUUAACAUUCCUAUUUUCCAUAUGCCUUUAUAAUGUAAAACGAAAAAAAUUUGAGGCCUUCAUUCCAACCAUUAAAAUUUAUUAAUGCAUUUUCUUUUAAUAUUAGAAAAAUUUAAUAUUUCAUAGUUGAUUUUAUGGGUAAUGUUAUUCAAAAUGUUUACCACUUCAGUGUUGAGCUUGUAGCUUUUUUCUCAACUAUAAUAUGUAUUAUAUCUUACAGUAUUCCUUUGGUCCUUAAAAGGAGAAAAGCAUAUUUUUAUGUGUAGGAAAACAACAGAAAGCAAAAACUACAUUAACUUAUUUUUCUCUUUCUAGCCAAUACUGGCCCCUCUUUGUUCUGUUUUUUUACAUCCUUUCACCUAUUCCAUACUGCAUAGCAAGAAGAUUGGUGGAUGAUACAGAUGCUAUGAGUAAUGCUUGUAAGGAACUUGCCAUAUUUCUUACAACAGGCAUUGUUGUCUCAGCUUUUGGACUCCCUAUUGUAUUUGCUCGAGCACAUUUGGUAAGUGAAUUUAUUUUUCUAUGGAUGAUUUUAUGUUAGACUGUGUUCAAUUUUUUUCUCAAAUGCUUUUGUUACUGACACAAAAAAGAAAUGAGAGAUAUAGAGGUUAAAAUCUUAGGUCUUUGUUGGUCCUUGCUAACUAAUAAAAAUAAAUUGAAGAACAGCAUAUGGCUUCCCAGUACCUAUCAGGAUCAGGCACAUUAACUCACCCAGUGCUGAGUAGCCACAGGCCUGACUUAUAUAAGCCCAGAAAACAAGAAGAUUGUGUGUUCUCUGCAAAGAGAAAGAGCUAGGCUACCUAUACUAAGUCCAGACUCAUCUACCCAAAUUCACAGCUCUUAUCUUUGUGACCACUAGCAUAUCUUAUAUCUACUCAGGUAGAGAAGGCAGCAGAGACUGACCAACCUUUAACAUGGAGAAGACAGUUAAUUACUCCCUCCACCCCUUUAAAAGAAAGUGCACAUGUGGUUUUCAUCUCUUAAUACUUUAAAUUUAAAUUUAUUCUCUAAAUAGAUUUUUUUUUUAUUUACAGAAAGCUAAUUUCUUCAUAAGUUGAAAAGUAUUGAAUUCUAUGCUGUCAUCGUUGCUUGUUUUUUAAAAUAAUUAUCAAUCAUAAAUUUGCUUUUAAACAACCAAAGAUAAAAAUAACAACAUAAAAAUACCAAUCAGUGUUAAAUACUGUGUAAGUUAUUACAAGCCAUAUUCGCUCUGAAUCAUGUUUGGCAUACAGUUAGAAUCUUCAUUUGCUUUUCAUUUCCCUUUUGUUUUUCAUAUGUCUGUUAACUGAGUGUUUAUACCUUAUUUCCACAGAUUGAGUGGGGAGCUUGUGCACUUGUUCUUACAGGAAACACAGUCAUCUUUGCAACUAUACUAGGCUUCUUCUUGGUCUUUGGAAGCAAUGAUGACUUCAGCUGGCAGCAGUGGUGAAAAGGAGUUGCUGAACUAUUGUCACAUGGACUUCUUGUCAUCUGUUGGCCAUCCAUGCACACAGGAGAUGGGGCUGUAAUGCUGAAUGGUGUAGCAAGCCUCCUGGGGGUAUUCUAGGUGCUCCCUACUCACUUUUAUUGUAUGCAUACUGUUCACAGAGACUUGCUAAAGGAUUAAAAGGAUUUUCUCUUUUGAAAAAGCUUGACUGAUUUCACACUUAUCUAUAGUAUGCUUUUUGUGGUGUCCUACUGAAUCUAAGUAUUUGUUUUGCCUGUUUAGCUUUUUUAUCAAUAUGCCAUGUUAAUUUUUUUUAAAUGUAAUAGCCAUUUGCAUUGUUUUAGGAAUUCAGAAUUCUGCUGGCUUCAUUACUGGGCUAAAGUACAUAUUUCCUCUUAAAAUUGGUUAACCUCCAUUAUUAUAAAAAUUAUAAAAAUAAGUUUUAAAUCAGUCAGAAUGACCUUGCUUCCAAUUUUAUGCAGACUUGCAGACCAUUAGCAUACCUUGUAGAUUAUCUACUCAGUGCAAAUAUAGCUGCGUUUACCUCAGAGGGGCCAAAUAUGAAUGCCCAUACCGUCCAUAAGGGUUGCUGGUUUUACUAGAAGACAGGUGGUUUGUGAAUUGAAAAUUGUUUUAUGGAAUUGCUACAAAGGUGUUCUUUUCUUCUCAAUUGAUGGAGGAAUUUAUGUUAAACUUUAAGGUAAGGGUAUAAAAAGAUUUUUGAGAUAUGGUUUUUUAUUUAUGUUUAUUGUAGUCAAAGUAGAAUGAGUUGCAGUGUGGGAAGAAACACAAUGAAAUUCCAUUGCUUAAGUGCGUUUCUAUUUAUGUGAAAGUUGUGAUCUCUCGGCUUUUCAUGUUUUACCAUGGGUAAAAUGGACAUACGUGGAAUUAUUACUGAUGAGGGAAAGUUGUAUGUUUGCAUCAUAAAUACCAGAAAAUCCUCCUCUGCUUCCUUCUUUUAACUUAUUUUGUAUGUUGUAUGUAUUAAAAGAACCUUUCAAACACUUAGAAAUGUUUACUUACCUGGAAAAUAAUUACUAUGCUAUUACAUUAAGAAUGUCCCUUCCCCUGCAAGGCUGUGACAUGAUUAACAAAUGAUUUUGUUAGUCUUGCAGAUAAUGUGCAUUAACAAUUUAAGAUUUAGCCGUGGUAAGGGUAGUUCUUAUUCUAAGAUUACAUCAUAUGUAAUUUUAAAAUACUUAAGACAAGUUUCCUGUGUAUCUCGCAAAUGUUUGGGUUUUGAUUUUAUCACAAUAGAUCUGCUUUUUCUUAUAAAAGAUAUUUAUCGUAUGAAAUAAUGCAGAUUAGCCAAAUCCAGCCGUAUAGCAGUUUUAGACACAGACCUGACCAAAAAAUUCCCAGUAACCAAGCAUGAUUAAAUUGUAGCAUCUCAUGAUUAUUAGUACCUUUUUCAGGAACUCAUUAGGAAAUUGUUAAAGUUGAUCUGACAGUAUUUUGUUAAGGAUAUUUGUAUGUUCAGUAUACUUAUAUAAAAAUUAUUUUGCCUUCAUUCAAAACUAAUCAUGACAGCUUUUUGUUGUUCUGUAGUUUCUUUGUGGAGAAAAUGGGAACAAAUUUUAGCUUUUUUCUGAAGAUGCCUAAAGCUACAGGGUUUUUUUGCCUAACCCAAGUUUUGUUACUCUAGGCUGUGAAAUGGGAAGCAGAAUGAAAUAUCUGCAUGCAACUAUGCUAUUUACACAUGGGCUGAAAAUAGCUUGUUGUGUAAUUAUGCUCUAGACUUAAAGAGGAAGGUACAAGUAUACAUACUAGACAGCUGGAGAUAUAGCAGGAACUCUUUAUGCCUAUGAUCUACUGGCUUCUUUUUUGUUGUUUUUUCUUCAGGAAGUGAGUGCAUUCUUUGGUCCUCCAUUUUUGGUUUCUCUAGAAUAUCAGUGCAAUGCACUGCUACUGUUUUAUUCCCUUGGCCAUAGACUCCUUCUGACAGCUGUGUAUUCUUUCAGUAUACUAAUUGCAUUGACAGCAUUGUGUCUUUGACCUUGCACAUAAGCUUACAGUGCUGUCUCUGGUUUCUAGGCUAGAUACUUGAGGUAUGAUUUUUCCAUAGAAUAUGCACUGACACAACCUUGCCAUUCUUCUAUGGAAAGAAAACUUGGAUGAUGAAACAAUAAAGAUUUUAAAUAUCCAUUUUAGUUUUGUGGGUGUUUUUGGAAUGAAAGUAUAUGACACACUUUGGUUCCUGAAGUACAUUAACCAUUUUAAUAAUGUAAUACAAAGCAAGUAUGACACUGGUUAUAAUGUUAGACAUUCAGCAGUACAAGUGAAACCAUAGUGACAAAUAUUAUAAUGAAGCCGUUUAAAAGUAAAAUUGAAACCAUAGUAACAAAUAUUACAGUGGAGACCAGUGAUUUUGAGCUAUAGUAAAAGGGCUGAUUUGAGGAAGAAUUUUUAUCCUUUUACAAAACAGUCAUAGGAGUUUUAUUCACAUAAAAAGACUGCUGAUAUUCUAAAGGUCCUGUUCUUAAAUUUUCAGAAAUUUUUUGUGACUGCAUAUAUUAUUAUAUGUUCAAAUAUUUUUUGCCAUUUGUCAUUAGAGAUUUUGCUUUUUACAAGGAUUACAAACAAAAUUCUGUGUGGUCUAAUUUGAAUAGAGGACAGUACUAUUAUCUAAUAUUAAUUUUGUCUCAAAUUGCCCUAAUUAUAAUCUUAUUAUAUACUUUUAAAAGUAUCAUAGGUUCUUAGUGUCUGCCCUAACAUGAUUGGUGGAAUGUUGCCAAAAUAAUCCAGGUUUUUAAAGUAAAUUCUAGACAAGAUUCAUAAGUUACAGGUAGCUUCAAAUCAGAGCAUCAAAUUUAACAAACUAUUGCUGUUAAGUAGUAUGUAUGUUGUAGACUCCAGGAUACUUUAUGAUGCUUACAAUUGGUGAGAAAUUCAAAUUCAUAUUUCUUUCAUAUGAACUUGUAUUGUUCUUUCAAUGAAGUCAGAAGCUUUUAUUUUAUUACAAGCUUCUUUUUAUGGGACUCCCUAGAAAGAAAAUAUAUCCAGAAGGUAAAUAUUUCAAAUAAAUGAAACUUAACCCAUUAAGAAUUAACUUUGGGCCAGGCACAAUGGCACAUACCUGUAAUCCCAGUGGCUUGAAGGCUGAGGCAGGAGGAUCAUGAAUUUAAAGCCAGCGUCAGCAACUUAGUGAGACCCUGUCUUAAAAUCAAAUAUCAAAAGGGCUGGGGAUGUGGCUUAGUAGUUAAGUGCACCUGGGUUCAGUCCCUGGUACAAAAAAAAAAAAAAACCCACCCUAAUUUGGAUUUAUUUUAACAUUGGACAAGACUAUUAAAAAGAUCAUACACAUGUGCCUUUUUAUAAUAAAAACUUUUUUCUUCCCUGGUAAUUCAAGACUUAACAUUGUAAAUUGUUUUUUUCCCGUCUUUCUAAAUUGCAUUUUUCAGGAAUUGUAGUUUAUUUGCUGACUUUCCUUAACAACUGUUCUUAACACCGCUUAAAUAUAUUUGCAGAAUAUUAGGAAGAGAACAUUUCAGGGGGGAAAAAUGAGGUAAUCAAGCUCACUGAAUCAAUUUAUAACAUUUUUGUAUACAGUGCAAUAUCAGUAGACUUAAUUAGGAUGUCUCCCACUUAUACAAAUGAAAUGCUUUGUGACAGGUAUAUCUUUCUGCUGAAAAGGCUUUUUAAAAAAUCUAGUUCUUAUAAGUCUACCAGAUAAUCUGAAAUAGGAAAUGUUUAUUGUGCUCUACAGCAACAGAAGCCUUAUAAUUAAUUUUUCUACAUAUUAAUACAGUAGUUAUUUGGAGCUCAAGAUACUACUAGUCCUUUAUAUCAUUUGUGGGUCUUCCUAUUUGUUUUUAAUUAUAAAAUAUCUAAGGAGGAAGUUUAUAAGAAACUUUGUACUGUAAGUUUUGCUUCUAGUUUAUUAAAGAUUAUUUGAAACCAUCCUUGGGUUUAGAACUAUAUACCACAAUCAAAACAAUUAAGAUAUUAAUUGCUAAGCUUGUAAAUUCUGGUGGGAUAGGGGAUAGAGAAAAUCUAAAAACUUUCCAUUCAAUGAGGAAGAUCUCAUGAAUAUACAUUUCUUUUUGAAUUAUAAUUCUGUUUUCUUGUUUAUAUUUAGAGUCAAUACUAAUGAUGGAAAAUCAGUAUUUUUAAAUUUUAGGAGUCAGUAAAAUGGCUUGUACUAUGAAAGAAAAACAGCUGUAGUUUAUAACCAUAGAAAUCAUUAAAUAGAAUGAAAUAUUAAAUAAGCCUGAGUAUUUCCAUAUCUGUAUAUAAGAGCAUGGCUACUUAGUAAUUAAGUUAUCUCGAUAUAUUAUGUAUCUGGAAUUUAAUAUCAAGUGUUUUUUCCUCAACAGAUCAAUUUAUUGCAUGUAAAAAUAUAACAGUGACAUAAAAAUAAGUAAAUUUGUGCAGAUUUGUGAAACUCACUCAAAAU
rnacentral:lncRNA from 1 species